UCCCUGGUGGUCCACUGGCUAAGGGUCUGUGUUUCUAAAGCAGGGGGCCCAGGUUCUAUCCCUGGUCAGGGAA
rfam:Ovis aries breed Texel chromosome 13, whole genome shotgun sequence.